AACCUUUACACUGCACGACAGUGCGAUAGGGGGACUCCGAGUGCGAGGGCAUAGAGCCCUCGCUUUUGUACACCGUAAGGUGGUGUACGAAUAAGAACUGGGCAAGACCGGUGCCAGCCGCCGCGGUAAUACCGGCAGUUCGAGUGAUGGCCGAUUUUAUUGGGCCUAAAGCGUUCGUAGCUGGCCGAUCAAGUCUGUCGGGAAAUCUGCUCGCCUAACGAGCAGGCGUCCGGCGGAAACUGAUCGGCUUGGGACCGGAAGACUCGAGGGGUACGUCCGGGGUAGGAGUGAAAUCCUGUAAUCCUGGACGGAUCACCGAUGGCGAAAGCACCUCGAGAGCACGGAUCCGACAGUGAGGAACGAAAGCUGGGGUCUCGAACCGGAUUAGAUACCCGGGUAGUCCCAGCUGUCAACGAUGCCCGCUAGGUAUGGCGCAGGCUACGAGCCUGUGCUAUGCCGUAGCGAAGGCGCUAAGCGGGCCGCCUGGGAAGUACGUUCGCAAGAAUGAAACUUAA
rnacentral:rRNA from 1 species